GACGAACGCUGGCGGCGGGCUUAACACAUGCAAGUCGAACGGAAAGGCCCUGCUUUUGUGGGGUGCUCGAGUGGCGAACGGGUGAGUAACACGUGAGUAACCUGCCCUUGACUUUGGGGUAACUUCAGGAAACUGGGGCUAAUACCGGCUAGGAGCUCCUGCUGCAUGGUGGGGGUUGGAAAGUUUCGGCGGUUGGGGAUGGACUCGCGGCUUAUCAGCUUGUUGGUGGGGUAGUGGCUUACCAAGGCUUUGACGGGUAGCCGGCCUGAGAGGGUGACCGGCCACAUUGGGACUGCGUUACGGCCGAGACUCCUACGGGAAGCAGCAGUGGGGAAGAUGGCACAAUGGGCGGAGGCCUGAUGCAGCAACGCCGCGUGCGGGAUGACGGCCUUCGGGUUGUGAACCGAUUUCGCCUGUGACGAAGCGUGAGUGACGGUAAUGGGUAAAGAAGCACCGGCUAACUACGUG
rnacentral:rRNA from 1 species